rnacentral:piRNA from 1 species
GUGAAUUUGGGAAGAUGAAUGUGGUGGUGU